AGCUUGCGCAUCUGACAUCGCUGUAAUCCCUUCUCCCAGCCUAUCCUGUCCGACAUGGACAAUCCCCGAGAGUCGCCCACGGACAAAGGUGGAGAGACAGGAGAGCCAGAUGAAACGGUCACUGUUCCCGAGGACCCGGGGGCUACCGAUACGGACGGGAUCCCACAGGAAACGGAUGGAGACGGAGAAGGGGCCUUGAAAGAAGUUGCAGUGGAGGAAGGCGAGCUCAAGAGUCAGGAUGUCUCAGAUUUAACAGCAGUUGAAAGAGAAGACUCAUCAUUACUUACUCCUGCAGCCAAAAAACUGAAAAUAGAUACCAAAGAAAAGAAAGAAAAUAAGCAGAAAGUGGAUGAAGAUGAGAUUCAGAAAAUGAAAAUCCUGGUUUCUUGUUUUUCUGAGGAGCAGCUGAACAGUUAUGAAAUGUAUCGCCGGUCAGCUUUCCCUAGGCAGCCAUUAAAAGGCUGAUCCAGUCCAUCACUGGCACCUCUGUGUCUCAGAAUGUUGUUAUUGCUAUGUCUGGCACUUCCAAGGUUUUCAUCGGGGAAGUAGUAGAAGAAGCACUGGAUGUGUAUGAGAAGUGGGGAGAAAUGCCACCAAUACAACCCAAACACAUGAGGGAGGCUGUCCGAAGGUUAAAGUCAAAGGGACAAAUCCCCAACUCAAAGCACAAAAAAAUUAUCUUCUUCUAG